rnacentral:rRNA from 1 species
UACGUAGGGUGCAAGCGUUGUCCGGAAUUAUUGGGCGUAAAGAGCUCGUAGGCGGUCUGUCGCGUCGGCUGUGAAAACCCGGAGCUCAACUCCGGGCCUGCAGUCGAUACGGGCAGACUGGAGUUCGGCAGGGGAGACUGGAAUUCCUGGUGUAGCGGUGAAAUGCGCAGAUAUCAGGAGGAACACCGGUGGCGAAGGCGGGUCUCUGGGCCGGUACUGACGCUGAGGAGCGAAAGCGUGGGGAGCAAACAGG